rnacentral:rRNA from 1 species
GAAUAUUGGACAAUGGGCGAAAGCCUGAUCCAGCCAUGCCGCGUGUGUGAAGAAGNUCNNCGGAUNGNAAAGCACUUUAAGUUNNNNNGAAGGGUUGUAGGUUAAUACCCUGCAAUUUUGACGUUACCAACAGAAUAAGCACCGGCUAACUUCGUGCCAGCAGCCGCGGUAAUACGAAGGGUGCAAGCGUUAAUCGGAAUUACUGGGCGUAAAGCGCGCGUAGGUGGUUCGUUAAGUUGGAAGUGAAAGCCCCGGGCUUAACCUGGGAAUUGCUUUCAAAACUGACGAGCUAGAGUACGGUAGAGGGUAGUGGAAUUUCCUGUGUAGCGGUGAAAUGCGUAGAUAUAGGAAGGAACAUCAGUGGCGAAGGCGACUACCUGGACUGAUACUGACACUGAGGUGCGAAAGCGUGGGGAGCAAACAGG